AAUUGCUUGAACCCAGGAGGCUGAGGCUGCAGUGAGCAGAGAUUGCGCCACUGUGCUCCAGCCUAGGCGACAGAGUGAGACUGUCUCAUAAAAAAAUAAUAAUAAUUAAAAGAAAUAUGGAUAUGAGAAAGUACAGGUAAAGAAAGGAUGCCAUGUGGCUCAGCUGUGAGUAAUAGCCACAUGGUCAUAACAGUGGAAAAUUCAAAUACUGAUUUAACAAAUGUUACCAUAUAGAGUAAUGAAUUGGGGAUGUGUGGAGAAAUGUGAGUGUGUGUGUGUGUGUGUUGUGAAUGACUAAAGUUGAAUUCUGAUUGUACAAGUAAAUAAAAUAUAUCUCUAACUGAAAAAUCAAGCUGCCUGACACAUCAAAGGCACUCAAUAAAUAUUUGCCAAUAAAUAAUGCUCUAAGUCUCUAUUCCACAUCUUCAUUUGUACAUUUACAUAGCACUGGAAUAGAAAGACUGGAGGCCGGGCACGGUGGCUCACGCC
rnacentral:lncRNA from 1 species